rnacentral:rRNA from 1 species
UACGUAGGGUGCGAGCGUUGUCCGGAAUUAUUGGGCGUAAAGAGCUCGUAGGCGGUUUGUCGCGUCUGCUGUGAAAACCUAAGGCUCAACCUUGGGCUUGCAGUGGGUACGGGCAGACUAGAGUGCGGUAGGGGUGACUGGAAUUCCUGGUGUAGCGGUGGAAUGCGCAGAUAUCAGGAGGAACACCGAUGGCGAAAGCAGGUAACUGGACUAUUACUGACACUCAACUGCGAAAGCUAGGGGAGCAAACAGG